UACGUAGGUGACAAGCGUUGUCCGGAUUUACUGGGCGUAAAGAGCGCGCAGGCGGUCGUUCAAGUCGAGUGUGAAAGCCCCCGGCUCAACUGGGGAGGGUCAUUCGAUACUGAUCGACUCGAAGGCAGGAGAGGGAAGUGGAAUUCCCGGUGUAGUGGUGAAAUGCGUAGAUAUCGGAAGGAACACCGAUGGCGAAAGCAGCGUGCUGGACCUUUUCUGACGCUGAGGCGCGAAAGCCAGGGGAGCAAACGGG
rnacentral:rRNA from 1 species